CAGAGGUCCCAAGCGUUGUUCGGAUUCACUGGGCGUAAAGGGUGCGUAGGUGGUGAGGUAAGUUUGAUGUGAAAGCUCCGGGCUUAACCCGGAAAUGGCAUUGAAUACUAUCUCGCUUGAGGGUUGGAGGGGAGACUGGAAUUCUUGGUGUAGCAGUGAAAUGCGUAGAUAUCAAGAGGAACACCAGUGGCGAAGGCGAGUCUCUGGACAACUCCUGACACUGAGGCACGAAAGCUAGGGGAGCAAACAGGAUUAGAUACCCUGGUAGUCCUAGCCGUAAACGGUGCAUAUUUGCUGUAAAAGGAAUCGACCCCUUUUGUGGCGAAGCAAACGCGUUAAAUAUGCCGCCUGGGAAGUACGGUCGCAAGAUUA
rnacentral:rRNA from 1 species